UACGGAGGAUGCGAGCGUUAUCCGGAUUUAUUGGGUUUAAAGGGUGCGUAGGCGGCUUUUUAAGUCAGCGGUGAAAUUUUGCAGCUUAACUGUAACAGUGCCGUUGAUACUGGGGAGCUAGGAUUUGGUUGCUGUGGGUGGAAUUUGUGGUGUAGCGGUGAAAUGCAUAGAUAUCACGAGGAACUCCGAUUGCGCAGGCAGCUUACUAAACUACUACUGACGCUCAGGCACGAAGGCGUGGGGAUCAAACAGGAUUAGAUACCCGGGUAGU
rnacentral:rRNA from 1 species